rnacentral:rRNA from 1 species
GCAUAACGCGAAGAACCUUACCCACCUUUGACAUGUACGGAAUUUGCCAGAGAUGGCUUAGUGCUCGAAAGAGAGCCGUAACACAGGUGCUGCAUGGCUGUCGUCAGCUCGUGUCGUGAGAUGUUGGGUUAAGUCCCGCAACGAGCGCAACCCUUGUCAUUAGUUGCUACGAAAGGGCACUCUAAUGAGACUGCCGGUGACAAACCGGAGGAAGGUGGGGAUGACGUCAAGUCCUCAUGGCCCUUAUAGGUGGGGCUACACACGUCAUACAAUGGCUGGUACAAAGGGUUGCCAACCCGCGAGGGGGAGCUAAUCCCAUAAAGCCAGUCGUAGUCCGGAUCGCAGUCUGCAACUCGACUGCGUGAAGUCGGAAUCGCUAGUAAUCGUGGAUCAGCAUGUCACGGUGAAUACGUUCCCGGGUCUUGUACACACCG